rnacentral:hammerhead_ribozyme from 1 species
GCACCGCUGAUGAGAUCCAACCAGGUCGGAACAACCGUCCGGUGC